UCGUGGCGCAAUGGCAGCGCGUGGGACUUCUAAUCCUGAGGUUGCCGGUUCGAGCCCGGCC
rnacentral:ncRNA from 17 species